GACGAACGCUGGCGGCGUGCUUAGCACAUGCAAGUCGAACGGAAAGGCCCUGCUUUUGUGGGGUGCUCGAGUGGCGAACGGGUGAGUAACACGUGAGUAACCUGCCCUUGACUUUGGGAUAACUUCAGGAAACUGUGGCUAAUACCGGAUAGGAGCUCCUGCUGCAUGGUGUGUGUUGGAAAGUUGCGGCGGUUGGGGAUGGACGCGGGGCUUAGCAGCUUGUAGGUGGGGUAGUGGCGUACCAAGGCUUUGACGGGCAGCCGGACUGAGAGGGUGACCGGCCACAGUGGGACUGAGAUACGGGCCAGACUCCUACGGGAGGAAGCAGUGGGGAAUAGUGCACGAUGGGCGGAAGCCUGAUGGAGCAACGCCGGGUGGGAGAUGACGGCCGUCGGGUUGGAAACCGCUUUCGACUGUGACGAAGAGUGAGUGACGGUAAUGGGUAAAGAAGCAACGGCUAACUACGUG
rnacentral:rRNA from 1 species